AGAGUUUGAUCAUGGCUCAGAUUGAACGCUGGCGGCAGGCCUAACACAUGCAAGUCGAACGGUAACAGAAAGCAGCUUGCUGCUUUGCUGACGAGUGGCGGACGGGGGAGUAAUGUCUGGGAAACUGCCUGAUGGAGGGGGAUAACUACUGGAAACGGUAGCUAAUACCGCAUAACGUCGCAAGACCAAAGAGGGGGACCUUCGGGCCUCUUGCCAUCGGAUGUGCCCAGAUGGGAUUAGCUAGUAGGUGGGGUAAAGGCUCACCUAGGCGACGAUCCCUAGCUGGUCUGAGAGGAUGACCAGCCACACUGGAACUGAGACACGGUCCAGACUCCUACGGGAGGCAGCAGUGGGGAAUAUUGCACAAUGGGCGCAAGCCUGAUGCAGCCAUGCCGCGUGUAUGAAGAAGGCCUUCGGGUUGUAAAGUACUUUCAGCGGGGAGGAAGGGAGUAAAGUUAAUAUCUUUGCUCAUUGACGUUACCCGCAGAAGAAGCACCGGCUAACUCCGUGCCAGCAGCCGCGGUAAUACGGAGGGUGCAAGCGUUAAUCGGAAUUACUGGGCGUAAAGCGCACGCAGGCGGUUUGUUAAGUCAGAUGUGAAAUCCCCGGGCUCAACCUGGGAACUGCAUCUGAUACUGGCAAGCUUGAGUCUCGUAGAGGGGGGUAGAAUUCCAGGUGUAGCGGUGAAAUGCGUAGAGAUCUGGAGGAAUACCGGUGGCGAAGGCGGCCCCCUGGACGAAGACUGACGCUCAGGUGCGAAAGCGUGGGGAGCAAACAGGAUUAGAUACCCUGGUAGUCCACGCCGUAAACGAUGUCGACUUGGAGGUUGUGCCCUUGAGGCGUGGCUUCCGGAGCUAACGCGUUAAGUCGACCGCCUGGGGAGUACGGCCGCAAGGUUAAAACUCAAAUGAAUUGACGGGGGCCCGCACAAGCGGUGGAGCAUGUGGUUUAAUUCGAUGCAACGCGAAGAACCUUACCUGGUCUUGACAUCCACGGAAGUUUUCAGAGAUGAGAAUGUGCCUUCGGGAACCGUGAGACAGGUGCUGCAUGGCUGUCGUCAGCUCGUGUUGUGAAAUGUUGGGUUAAGUCCCGCAACGAGCGCAACCCUUAUCCUUUGUUGCCAGCGGUCCGGCCGGGAACUCAAAGGAGACUGCCAGUGAUAAACUGGAGGAAGGUGGGGAUGACGUCAAGUCAUCAUGGCCCUUACGACCAGGGCUACACACGUGCUACAAUGGCGCAUACAAAGAGAAGCGACCUCGCGAGAGCAAGCGGACCUCAUAAAGUGCGUCGUAGUCCGGAUUGGAGUCUGCAACUCGACUCCAUGAAGUCGGAAUCGCUAGUAAUCGUGGAUCAGAAUGCCACGGUGAAUACGUUCCCGGGCCUUGUACACACCGCCCGUCACACCAUGGGAGUGGGUUGCAAAAGAAGUAGGUAGCUUAACCUUCGGGAGGGCGCUUACCACUUUGUGAUUCAUGACUGGGGUGAAGUCGUAACAAGGUAACCGUAGGGGAACCUGCGGUUGGAUCACCU
rnacentral:rRNA from 2 species